AGUUAUCAUAGUUACUAUGCCCAUAAAAUAGUAGAGUACUUCGUUCAUUCAGCAAAUAAUAAGUUGCUUCUCACAUUCAUUUAUUCAUGCAGAAAUAAGUCCUCACUAUCAAAUAAUGAAAAGAGCCAUGUUGCUGGGCUCCUUCAGGGUAUAGCAUAACAAAGACAAGGAUGAAAUAAGUCCUGUGAUGGAGAGACCAGCAAGAGACCAGCAACACGCUACCUGACUUCAGAGGAGGACGAAGUGUGCUGUGCCAGGAGGAACAGGAGACAGCUUCCUGAAGAAGGGAGCCUUACAAGCCAGGAUGCCUGCUUCUUAAAAAGAGUUUGGAGAAGUACAGUGAAACCCAAAAGGAAUGGAGUACCAGCCAAGUGUGAUGGAGCAUGCCUGUAGUCCCAGCUACUCAGGAGGCUGAGGGAGGAGGAUCACUUGAGCUAAGGUCACAAGAAAUGGGUAGCUAUCCAGCUAAAUAGAUUUCAUGCUUGACUUCAGUGGAAUAGCUCAAAUGAUGAUCUGUUUGGGAGAGUA
rnacentral:lncRNA from 13 species